GAGCCCUACCUUGUCUCCCCCAGCUCCCCUGAUCAACAGAGCCCUCUCCUGAAUGACUGCUGAAUUACUGACUGACAAGCUGCAUGGCAAGGAUGAAGUAUGAAUUUGGAAAUCUGAAAGCUGGAUAACACCCGAUGGCAAAAGGACUGCUUGUUCCUGGUGUGAAGCAAAACU
rnacentral:lncRNA from 1 species